GUGAACUCGAAGAGUAGGGCGGGACACGUGGUAUCCUGUCUGAAUAUGGGGGGACCAUCCUCCAAGGCUAAAUACUCCUGACUGACCGAUAGUGAACCAGUACCGUGAGGGAAAGGCGAAAAGAACCCCGGCGAGGGGAGUGAAAAAGAACCUGAAACCGUGUACGUACAAGCAGUGGGAGCACCUUCGGGUGUGACUGCGUACCUUUUGUAUAAUGGGUCAGCGACUUAUAUUCUGUAGCAAGGUUAACCGUAUAGGGGAGCCGCAGGGAAACCGAGUCUUAACUGGGCGUUAAGUUGCAGGGUAUAGACCCGAAACCCGGUGAUCUAGCCAUGGGCAGGUUGAAGGUUGGGUAACACUAACUGGAGGACCGAACCGACUAAUGUUGAAAAAUUAGCGGAUGACUUGUGGCUGGGGGUGAAAGGCCAAUCAAACCGGGAGAUAGCUGGUUCUCCCCGAAAGCUAUUUAGGUAGCGCCUCGUGAAUUCAUCUUCGGGGGUAGAGCACUGUUUCGGCUAGGGGGUCAUCCCGACUUACCAACCCGAUGCAAACUACGAAUACCGAAGAAUGUUAUCACGGGAGACACACGGCGGGUGCUAACGUCCGUCGUGAAGAGGGAAACAACCCAGACCGCCAGCUAAGGUCCCAAAGUCAUGGUUAAGUGGGAAACGAUGUGGGAAGGCACAGACAGCCAGGAUGUUGGCUUAGAAGCAGCCAUCAUUUAAAGAAAGCGUAAUAGCUCACUGGUCGAGUCGGCCUGCGCGGAAGAUGUAACGGGGCUAAACCAUGCACCGAAGCUGCGGCAGCGACACUAUGUGUUGUUGGGUAGGGGAGCGUUCUGUAAGCCUGCGAAGGUGACCUGUGAGGGUUGCUGGAGGUAUCAGAAGUGCGAAUGCUGACAUAAGUAACGAUAAAGCGGGUGAAAAGCCCGCUCGCCGGAAGACCAAGGGUUCCUGUCCAACGUUAAUCGGGGCAGGGUGAGUCGACCCCUAAGGCGAGGCCGAAAGGCGUAGUCGAUGGGAAACAGGUUAAUAUUCCUGUACUUGGUGUUACUGCGAAGGGGGGACGGAGAAGGCUAUGUUAGCCGGGCGACGGUUGUCCCGGUUUAAGCAUGUAGGCUGGUUGUCCAGGCAAAUCCGGAUAAUCAAGGCUGAGGUGUGAUGACGAGGCACUACGGUGCUGAAGUAACAAAUGCCCUGCUUCCAGGAAAAGCCUCUAAGCAUCAGGUAACAUCAAAUCGUACCCCAAACCGACACAGGUGGUCAGGUAGAGAAUACCAAGGCGCUUGAGAGAACUCGGGUGAAGGAACUAGGCAAAAUGGUGCCGUAACUUCGGGAGAAGGCACGCUGGUGUGUAGGUGAAGCCCCUGCGGGUGGAGCUGAGACCAGUCGAAGAUACCAGCUGGCUGCAACUGUUUAUUAAAAACACAGCACUGUGCAAACACGAAAGUGGACGUAUACGGUGUGACGCCUGCCCGGUGCCGGAAGGUUAAUUGAUGGGGUUAUCCGUAAGGAGAAGCUCUUGAUCGAAGCCCCGGUAAACGGCGGCCGUAACUAUAACGGUCCUAAGGUAGCGAAAUUCCUUGUCGGGUAAGUUCCGACCUGCACGAAUGGCGUAAUGAUGGCCAGGCUGUCUCCACCCGAGACUCAGUGAAAUUGAACUCGCUGUGAAGAUGCAGUGUACCCGCGGCAAGACGGAAAGACCCCGUGAACCUUUACUAUAGCUUGACACUGAACAUUGAGCCUUGAUGUGUAGGAUAGGUGGGAGGCUUUGAAGCGUGGACGCCAGUCUGCGUGGAGCCAACCUUGAAAUACCACCCUUUAAUGUUUGAUGUUCUAACGUUGGCCCCUUACCGGGGUUGCGGACAGUGUCUGGUGGGUAGUUUGACUGGGGCGGUCUCCUCCCAAAGCGUAACGGAGGAGCACGAAGGUUAGCUAAUCCUGGUCGGACAUCAGGAGGUUAGUGCAAUGGCAUAAGCUAGCUUGACUGCGAGCGUGACGGCGCGAGCAGGUGCGAAAGCAGGUCAUAGUGAUCCGGUGGUUCUGAAUGGAAGGGCCAUCGCUCAACGGAUAAAAGGUACUCCGGGGAUAACAGGCUGAUACCGCCCAAGAGUUCAUAUCGACGGCGGUGUUUGGCACCUCGAUGUCGGCUCAUCACAUCCUGGGGCUGAAGUAGGUCCCAAGGGUAUGGCUGUUCGCCAUUUAAAGUGGUACGCGAGCUGGGUUUAGAACGUCGUGAGACAGUUCGGUCCCUAUCUGCCGUGGGCGCUGGAGAAUUGAGGGGGGCUGCUCCUAGUACGAGAGGACCGGAGUGGACGCAUCACUGGUGUUCGGGUUGUCAUGCCAAUGGCACUGCCCGGUAGCUAAAUGCGGAAGAGAUAAGUGCUGAAAGCAUCUAAGCACGAAACUUGCCCCGAGAUGAGUUCUCCCUGAGACUUUAAGUCUCCUGAAGGAACGUUGAAGACGACGACGUUGAUAGGCCGGGUGUGUAAGCGCAGCGAUGCGUUGAGCUAACCGGUACUAAUGAACCGUGAGGCUUAACCUU
rnacentral:rRNA from 1 species